rnacentral:rRNA from 1 species
AGAGUUUGAUCAUGGCUCAGGAUGAACGCUAGCUACAGGCUUAACACAUGCAAGUCGAGGGGAAACGACAUCGAAAGCUUGCUUUUGAUGGGCGUCGACCGGCGCACGGGUGAGUAACGCGUAUCCAACCUGCCCACCACUUGGGGAUAACCUUGCGAAAGUAAGACUAAUACCCAAUGACGUCUCUAGAAGACAUCUGAAAGAGAUUAAAGAUUUAUCGGUGAUGGAUGGGGAUGCGUCUGAUUAGCUAGUUGGUGAGGUAAUGGCUCACCAAGGCAUCGAUGGGUAGGGGUUCUGAGAGGAGGGUCCCCCACAUUGGAACUGAGACACGGUCCAA